UACGGAGGGGGCUAGCGUUGUUCGGAAUUACUGGGCGUAAAGGGCGCGUAGGCGGCGUGUCAAGUCAGGCGUGAAAGCCCCGGGCUCAACCUGGGAACCGCGCUUGAGACUGGCAUGCUCGAGUUCGGGAGAGGAUGGUGGAAUUCCCAGUGUAGAGGUGAAAUUCGUAGAUAUUGGGAAGAACACCGAUGGCGAAGGCAGCCAUCUGGGACCGACACUGACGCUGAGGCGCGAAAGCGUGGGGAGCAAACAGG
rnacentral:rRNA from 1 species